rnacentral:sRNA from 11 species
AUUCUGCCCAUGCGGGGAAGGAUGAGAAGCUUCGACCAAGGUUCGACUCGAGGCCAGCGAGAGAGCGUUGCCGCAGGCAACGACCCGUAGGGCGAAGCGCGCAGCGCUGAGUAAUCCUUCCCCCACCACCA